AGCAGUAGCCGCGGUAAUACGGAGGGCGCGAGCGUUACCCGGAUUUACUGGGCGUAAAGGGCGUGUAGGCGGCCUGGGGCGUCCCAUGUGAAAGGCCACGGCUCAACCGUGGAGGAGCGUGGGAUACGCUCAGGCUAGAGGGUGGGAGAGGGUGGUGGAAUUCCCGGAGUAGCGGUGAAAUGCGCAGAUACCGGGAGGAACGCCGAUGGCGAAGGCAGCCACCUGGUCCACUUCUGACGCUGAGGCGCGAAAGCGUGGGGAGCAAACCGGAUUAGAUACCCGCGUAGUCCCUGUCUCUUAUAC
rnacentral:rRNA from 1 species